GACGAACGCUGGCGGCGUGCUUAACACAUGCAAGUCGAACGGAAAGGCCCUGCUUGCAGGGUACUCGAGUGGCGAACGGGUGAGUAACACGUGGGUGAUCUGCCCUGCACUUCGGGAUAAGCCUGGGAAACUGGGUCUAAUACCGGAUAGGAGCCAUUUUUAGUGUGAUGGUUGGAAAGUUUUUUCGGUGUAGGAUGAGCUCGCGGCCUAUCAGCUUGUUGGUGGGGUAAUGGCCUACCAAGGCGGCGACGGGUAGCCGGCCUGAGAGGGUGGACGGCCACAUUGGGACUGAGACACGGCCCAGACGCCUACGGGAGGCAGCAGUGGGGAAUAUUGCCCAAUGGGCGCAAGCCUGAUGCAGCGACGCCGCGUGGGGGAUGACGGACUUCGGGUUGUAAACUCCUUUCGCUAGGGACGAAGCUUUUUGUGACGGUACCUAGAUAAGAAGCACCGGCUAACUACGUG
rnacentral:rRNA from 1 species